rnacentral:rRNA from 1 species
AUGGCGACCGGCGCACGGGUGAGUAACACGUAUCCAACCUACCGAUAGCUCUGGAAUAGCCUUUCGAAAGAAAGAUUAAUACCGGAUAGCAUAGUUCUUCCGCAUGGUAGAACUAUUAAAGAAUUUCGGUCAUCGAUGGGGAUGCGUUCCAUUAGGUUGUUGGCGGGGUAACGGCCCACCAAGCCUUCGAUGGAUAGGGGUUCUGAGAGGAAGGUCCCCCACAUUGGAACUGAGACACGGUCCAA